rnacentral:RNase_P_RNA from 1 species
GGGGGGAGGUGAGGCGGUCGCUGUGGGUUUUCCCACAGAGGAAAGUCCGAACUCCGCAGGGCAGGGAAGCACGCAAGUGCCGCGCGUAAGCGCAGGGAAAGUGCCACAGAGACCAGACCGCCGCAGUUGGCUGCGGUAAGGGUGAAACGGUGGGGUAAGAGCCCACCGGCGUUCGGGGUAACCCGACGGACGGGUAAACCCUUCCCGGAGCAAGGUCAAGCAGAAACGCCUUGAGGGUUGCCCGCCCGAAUCCGAGGUUCUCCUCGGUGGCGUUUCGGGUGGACUGCAAAGAUGAAUGACCGCCCCCCUUUACGCGAGAACAGAAUUCGGCUUACCGCCUCCCCCCCAAC